GGAUGUGAGCAAGAAUACAGAACUGUGAACUGAAAUAUUUGGGAACAGAUAUUGGAUAAGGAAGCUGUUUGGCAUCCAAAAACAGAAGUUUCUCCCAAACAGGAUAUUGGAAAAGGAAGGACUUCCCAGAAGGUGAAGUCAAGAGUCAUGAAGAACAAUAGACUAUGAAGCUACCUCCAGGAGACAAAAUUGAAGAUUGGUUAAACACAGUUCCUUACACUCAGAGCCUGACAUGGUGAUCAGCAAAUGAAAAGUGUUGCAUCAAUAUCUGAUGAAUGUAUGAGAAAGUCUUCACCUGAUACCACCUAGAUCCUACCAG